UUCUGGGUGGUCUAGCUUGGUUAGGAUAACAGGUUGUGGCCCUGUUGACCCGGAUUCAAAUUCCGGCCCAGAAC
rnacentral:tRNA from 2 species